UACGGGGGGGGCAAGCGUUGUUCGGAAUUACUGGGCGUAAAGGGCUCGUAGGCGGCCAACUAAGUCAGACGUGAAAUCCCCUCGGCUUAACCGGGGAACUGCGUCUGAUACUGGAUGGCUAGAGGUUGGGAGAGGGAUGCGGAAUUCCAGGUGUAGCGGUGAAAUGCGUAGAUAUCUGGAGGAACACCGGUGGCGAAGGCGGCAUCCUGGACCAAUUCUGACGCUGAGGAGCGAAAGCCAGGGGGAGCAAACGGG
rnacentral:rRNA from 1 species